rnacentral:sRNA from 1 species
CAGAGUGCGGGAGGGGGUGACUAGUGACAGAGUGCGGGAGGGGGUGACUAGUGACAGAGGGAGGGAUGAGGUGACUAGUGACCAUCACCCCCUCCCUCAUUCUGUCACUAGUCACACCCUCCCUCACUAGUCACCCUCCCCUGUCACUAGUCACCCCUCCCUCACUCUGUCACUAAUCACUACCUCACUCUGUCACUAGUCACCCUCUCCCUCACUCUGU